GAGCAGAUGAUGAGAAUUAUUGAUGAUUGAAACACUGAUUUGGAUGAUGUUUCAAAAAUCGAGCUUUUUAAAACUGAUGCUCA
rfam:Punica granatum cultivar Dabenzi scaffold665, whole genome shotgun sequence.